UCGCCUCCUGCCCACUCAGCAUAGGAGGUCCCGCCUGCCCUGUGACCAAAAGUUUAACGGCCGCGGUAUUUUAACCGUGCAAAGGUAGCGCAAUCAAUUGUCUUUUAAAUGAAGACCUGUAUGAAUGGCAUAACGAGGGUUUAACUGUCUCUUUUUUCAGGUCAAUGAAACUGAUCUGUCCGUGCAGAAGCGGACAUAUUAACACAAGACGAGAAGACCCUAUGGAGCUUUAGACGCCCACCAACCGCGAAAAACAGCCUGCCUUAACAGAUGCUCUAAACAACGCGGUCCUGGUACAAACGUCUUCGGUUGGGGCGACCGCGGAGGAGAACAAAGCCUCCGAGAGGAAUGGGAACAAACCCUAAAACCAAGAGCCACAGCUCUAAGUCACAAAAAAUUUGACCGAUAAUGAUCCGGCUUACUGCCGAUCAACGGACCAAGUUACCCUAGGGAUAACAGCGCAAUCCCCUCCCAGAGUCCAUAUCGACGAGGGGGUUUACGACCUCGAUGUUGGAUCAGGACAUCCUAAUGGUGCAGCCGCUAUUAAGGGUUCGUUUGUUCAACGAUUAAAGUCCUAC
rnacentral:rRNA from 1 species